UCUAUUUUCCUUUAAACUUUAUCAUUUUAAAACUAGUAGUAGGCGGAGGAUGUAAUAUAUGAAUUCACUUAUUCCAAUAUUUUUGUUACGGAGAAUAGAUAUAUUAUGUAAGAAAUGAAUACUUUUUUACAAUAAAAAAAAAAAGAAAUAUUCUGAAUUCACUCUUCAUAAUAUACAGUACACCAAUCUUUUCGAUAUUCUAAAUUUGCCCCUAGUUUGCUUCGAAGUUAGCCAAAUAUGCAUUACCAACCUUUUUUUUUCUGCAGAAUUUCCCAAAUAUAACCUUGCGCUUUUCCUUUUAAAAUCAGCCAUUGCUCAAACACUUGACCAAAUGCAGAAAAAUAAAGAGAACAAUCAAAGACAUAUGAAGGGGAGAAAUAUGAAGAAUUUUAUGUAGGAUUCAUAAAUGUUGCAUUUGUUAAUAAACCUCAAAUUCAACAUAUUAUUCUGUGAAAGAUUUACCUAAAUAUAAUUAUAGAAGAAGGAU
rnacentral:lncRNA from 1 species